rnacentral:antisense_RNA from 1 species
ACCACGUGGAGGAAAAGCACGCGAGUUUGGAGGGGGUGGAGCAGGAACAGAGGUGGACUGGAAUGUCACACGACGGGGCAGCUGGAAGUGCACAGAAACACUCUCCACACCAAGCUGCUGCUGCUGGGGGAUGGAGGGAUGGCGUCAGCGAUUCAAGACUGUUUUUCCUACCUGUUCAGCACUUCUUUCAGCGAUAUGAAGUUAAAUCCAGUCCUCACUGUCCCCAGAAGGAAGAGAGGCACACAGCGCUCCCCAGCCGCUGGAAUCCAGGAAGAAUUGAGGUGCUCAAGACCCACCACCUCUUUGCCUGCAAACUCUAAGCUCACUGUCCUGCUCCCUUGCUCCCAGAAGUGGCACUGGAUGGAUCCCAUCCAGGUCAGCCCAGGCUGUCAUUUCCUCCCCUUCUGUACCUAAUCUCAGCGAGAUGAAGAGUUUACACCUGUUUCUCACUUGAAUUAGGGAAGUCUAGUUUGCAUUCUCCUGACUGGAUGGGCCUGCAUUGAAUCUUUCAUCUCAUUGGUCUGGGGAUUUGGUUCUGAAGACCAAUGCCUUCCAGAAUCUUCCUGUCUCUCCCCAAAUUCUGGGCAGUUCUGUUUCCAGCACUCAUCCAUGAUGGGGGGUACAGGAAAUGAGUGUCGAGGGAAAGGCAUCCCACCUUCUCUCUGUUCCAUCUCAGAUCUGACAACUCACUGGAAAGUUCUUCUCUGUGUCCCUGUCCCCCGUCUGGUUCUGAGGCCGCUGCUUUCCCCAGCCUUGGUGCCUUGGGUUUUCUGCUCUGUGAAAUGAACCAGGUCCCUUAUCCUGUUCUCCCCUGAAGAAAAGAGGGUGUGGGGGGCUUGGCACAGGAAAUGGCCCUUGCCUUUCACAGGCUUUGGGGUCUGAGGGCAGCUCU